UGCGCCGUGGAGCUGCAGUCAGGUUUGCUGUGGUCAGCAGUGGUCUGGCAGGAAUCUCCACCAGCUCUUCAUGGUCAGCUGCCCGUCGAAGCCCCCUCUGCUCACGUUCAGGAACUGCUGCCGCACUGCCAGGAAGUCGAUCUGGCCCCUGUCAACCACAUCUUCCUCCAGGUCCUGUGGCCUCUUGGAGAGGGUGUCCUUGGCAUCCAGGUGCCAGGCCUCAGGGGCAGUGGACCAUGCCUGCUGCUUAUCCUGACCCCAGCUGCUUGCCUCAGGACCCACACUCACCAGCUGGAACGUGUAGCUGGUGUCUCCAUCAAGCACCAGGCCAGUGACACGGGCUUCCUUCAAUGUGGACUGUGGGACACCUCCUCUAGGGAGCCUGCUGGAUUGUCCUUCCCUCUGAAUCCAUCACUGAGGUGUCAUAAGGGUCAGGCCUGCACCAAGCACCCAAGUUUUAGGCAUCCUUUGAUGGCUGAACAAAAAAAGGCUCCCCUGAGGGCACAGGGACUUUGGAGCUCCCCAAACAGCCCUUGAUGCUCCUGGUUGUACCAAAGCUGUCAUUUAGAUUCCCUGCCUUUACACCGACUGGCUUUUAAGAGCUCAAUGUCAUUCUAAAAAGGAAAACAUUGCCCCUCCCUGAACAGAAAAGUGGCAUCAAGCAACAUAAAGUUAAUCAUGGAGAACAAUGAUAUAACUGACACAUGUUACGUGCCAUGUAACCUUUUGUAGAUACGGAAUAUCAAAAACUGCAAUAAGGAAAACAACAGUGAAAAAACAAGCAGUCUUGGGGAAUAAAUCCCAGCCACACUUGGCUGAGCCUCAGUGCCAAGGGGCAAUGAGCAUAUAACCUCUACCCCUCACCUCUCCUUUAACAGCCCCUCCUAGAAGUCCCCUUUAAGCUCUCCUUUACUUCCACCUGAAACCAUUGCCCCAGGGAAGCAUUCCUUCCCACAGCUUAUGACCUGGUAUACAGCAGGUACUCAAUAAAGACUGGCUGA